rnacentral:tRNA from 1 species
AAGGCUUUAGCUUAAUUAAAGUGUCUGUUUUGCAUGCAGUAGAUGUGGGGAAAUAUCCCGCAGGUCUUA